rnacentral:tRNA from 2 species
GGGCCGUUAGCUCAACUGGCAGAGCAGGAGACUCUUAAUCUCAAGGUUGUAGGUUCGAUUCCUACACGGCCCA